rnacentral:rRNA from 1 species
UGGGGAAUCUUGCACAAUGGGGGAAACCCUGAUGCAGCGACGCCGCGUGAACGAUGAAGCCCUUCGGGGUGUAAAGUUCUUUCGACAGGAACGAUAAUGACGGUACCUGGAGAAGAAGCUGCGGCUAACUACGUGCCAGCAGCCGCGGUAAUACGUAGGCAGCGAGCGUUGUUCGGGGUUACUGGGCGUAAAGAGUGCGUAGGCGGCGAGCCAAGUUUGGUGUGAAAUCUCCCGGCUUAACCGGGAGGGUGCGCCGAAAACUGGUUGGCUGGAGUAUGGGAGAGGAAAGCGGAAUUCCUGGUGUAGCGGUGAAAUGCGUAGAUAUCAGGAGGAACACCUGCGGUGUAGACAGCUUUCUGGACCAAAACUGACGCUGAGGCACGAAAGCGUGGGUAGCAAACA